ensembl:lincRNA 1700008K24Rik RIKEN cDNA 1700008K24 gene
GAGAGCAGUUGACAGUUAUUUUGCAGGAGGCUUCUCAGGGAUGAAGGCAAGCUGUCCCCUAGCUGAUCAGCUGGUUGGUGAGGACUCUUCACGAAAUAACUCAGCACUCAUGAUCAGCUGUCAAGCUAUAACAGAGUGUUGAGGCCGCCCCUGAAACCACAGGGCCAUUUUGUAGGAACUAAGAAGCCAACCUCAAGGAAUCACUCGCCCCAAGAAGACUUUGUUCUGAUCUGAUGUGUUUCUAGCCUGGUGGAGCCUCAGCUAUCCAAAGGAAGAGCUGUUAAGAUGAUUGGAAUUUUGGUUUUUCCGAUUCACUCUUUUUUCUCUCCAGCAAUCUGCCUUAGACAGCAGGAGAAAAGGAAACUUAGCCUCAGAGGUGGGGUCCUUCGGAAGGACUGACAGUGGGCUAGCUCUCCUGCUGCUGGGAGCCUGAGUGCCUUUGGCUCCUUGCCCAGAGCUCAGCUUUACCACGGAGGUUACCUGCUUACCAUCAACAUCGAAACUUGCCUCUUCCCCUGGGUGUAUUCUCCCUCUUUUGUGGACAGUUUGGUUCCUCCAAACUGCUCUCCCUGUGAAGAAAGCCGAUGGAAUUCAGGGAGCCUGGCCAGCCACCCAGGCCUUUAUAAAGGUCCUCGUACCACAGGAUGUAUGGGAGACCCAAUAAAGACUUUGCAAAAUGCU